AUAUUCUAAAGUUAAUUAACUUCCUUGAUAUCUUCAAUAUCAUGCUCUAAAAUAUAAGCUAUUAAAAU
rnacentral:tRNA from 1 species